CGCUUUGCCGGACCUGUGCAGUUGAUGGUUUUCUCCCAAAGCAACCUUACGGACAUUAAAUCAUCUUGCACAACAGGAUAUUUUAGUAUUGCCCCUUUGGGAUGAGAGAAGUGAGGGAGAAGACUGUUAUAGCACCUUUUAGGGGAUUUAUUUUAUUCUCCUGAUUCUGGUGCCUUGAUGUUCGAGUUUGUUGGCUACUGAAUGUGUGCGCUGUACAUGCACUU